CUUUAACUCUGGCGGUAGGCCUAACACAUGCAAGUCGAACGGCAGCACAGUAAGAGCUUGCUCUUACGGGUGGCGAGUGGCGGACGGGUGAGGAAUACAUCGGAAUCUACUUUUUCGUGGGGGCUAACGUAGGGAAACUUACGCUAAUACCGCAUACGACCUACGGGUGAAAGCAGGGGAUCUUCGGACCUUGCGCGAUUGAAUGAGCCGAUGUCGGAUUAGCUAGUUGGCGGGGUAAAGGCCCACCAAGGCGACGAUCCGUAGCUGGUCUGAGAGGAUGAUCAGCCACACUGGAACUGAGACACGGUCCAGACUCCUACGGGGGGCAGCAGUGGGGAAUAUUGGACAAUGGGCGCAAGCCUGAUCCAGCCAUACCGCGUGGGUGAAGAAGGCCUUCGGGUUGUAAAGCCCUUUUGUUGGGAAAGAAAAGCAGCAGGUUAAUACCCCGCUGUUCUGACGGUACCCAAAGAAUAAGCACCGGCUAACUUCGUG
rnacentral:rRNA from 1 species